rnacentral:lncRNA from 1 species
AUGGAACAUAAAAUCAUGGAUUGAAUUUUAAAAGAAAUGACAAACAAUAUUAAAGAAGAUAGGAAGAACCAGGAUGGGCCUAUUGCUAUGUAUUAGUGACUGAAACAGGGAUUGGUGGGCUAGAUUAUAGAGGAUUUCAUGGGGUCUGACUUCCAACAGGUGGCAAGCUUUAGUCCUCUUCAGAUGCAAAACCUUAACGAGUUUGAGUAUGCAAGUCUGGAGGAUUCUGUUCAAGGCCUCUUCUCAGUAAUCACGGAAACGAUGUUCUGGGUUUAAGCGUCCUUGGCAAGUUAGCAAGCAGGGUACUGUGUGCACCUGUCCCCUGAAGGGGAUUCUGGCCUGAUACUGAAUGCCCACCAUGCUUUCUUGACAGCCCAACCUGCCGCUGUAGCGCCUCCAGACAAAUGAGGGAAGCCCACUAGUAAGUGCUCACGACCAAGCAAGCCACAAAUGCCCAGGGUGUGGAAUUUCCACCUCAGUACCGUGCCUGAACACUGAAAAUAGGCGCCACUCAACCCAUACUGCAAUGGGAUUCCCCCCAGCAGCAAUCCACCUCCCCCCUCCACACCCCAGCUUGCAUGUUUUAUUAAUAAAUGCAAGAUGGCACACGGAGGCAAAGAACGGGAGCUAAAGCAUCUGCAGCUGGACCCCAACCAGAGCAGUUUGCAAAAAUAAAUAAGAAGCAUGUGACAAGAAGCAGAUUCCCCAGGCUGGAGCUGAAGCCCUGGAUUUCCCCACACACCCUCCUCCUGCUUCCCUCAGCAAGCCAGGAUGAAGGUCAGUGAUAUACCUACUUCUAACGUGGCUGUCGUUGGUCAUAUCCCACUCCAAAACAUCUUUUGAGGUAAGUCAGAUUUUUUUUUUUAAGUGAACACUACACCCAAUGUGGGAUUUGAACUCAUAACCCCAAGAUCAAGAGUCAUAUGCUCUAACAACUGAGCCAACCAGGCAUCCCAGAUUUUCUUAAGUUAAAAAGUCUUUUCAAGAGUACCAGCAUCACAUAAUCAGAAAAUUUGUGCAUGUGUGUAGCUACAAGAUUAUGAGAGGGCAGAUUUGAGAUUAUGUGGAUCUUGUGAAUGUCUGAAAAAGAUUGAUAUCAGAAUUAAAAUUUGUUCUCUUGAGGUUGUUGCUUGUAAAAAUAGAACAUAUGAAUCUGAC